UGAAUAUGGGUUUUUCUAACUGAAAAUUCUGUUUCUUGUGUUCUUCUAGAACAAGAAUUGCCUGUGCAGUUAGGACCUUUCCCUUCUCUGUGCUUUGUGAUAGAAACCUGAAUUUCAGUGGAAAGUUUCCCAUGGACUUUGAGGACUUCUGGAUAGACCCAAAACAGCAGGAGGAAACUUUCUUUGAUGAAGCACUGUGGAUUUCCAAUGCUUAUUCUGUUGUCACUGCUGAAAUCCACAGACUGUGGUAGCACAGAGCUCCAUUCUGGAAUGAAGCCUCCUGGUUCUUGGUAAUGGAUUUUGGUCUAAACAAAAGGAAUCAAAGGAGAUGUACAUUAAGUUGCAACAGGCGUUUCAGCACGGUG